UACGUAGGGGGCAAGCGUUGUCCGGAUUUAUUGGGCGUAAAGAGCGUGUAGGCGGCCAUGCAGGUCCGUUGUGAAAACUCGAGGCUCAACCUCGAGACGCCGAUGGAAACCGCAUGGCUAGAGUCCGGAAGAGGAGAGUGGAAUUCCUGGUGUAGCGGUGGAAUGCGCAGGAUAUCAGGAGGAACACCGGUGGCGGAAGGCGGGUCUCUGGGCAGUAGCUGACACUGAGGCGCGACAGCGUGGGGAGCAAACAGG
rnacentral:rRNA from 1 species